rnacentral:rRNA from 1 species
UACGUAGGUGGCAAGCGUUAUCCGGAUUUAUUGGGUGUAAAGGGCGUGUAGGCGGGAAUGCAAGUCAGAUGUGAAAACUCAGGGCUCAACCCUGAGCCUGCAUUUGAAACUGUAUUUCUUGAGUGCUGGAGAGGCAAUCGGAAUUCCGUGUGUAGCGGUGAAAUGCGUAGAUAUACGGAGGAACACCAGUGGCGAAGGCGGAUUGCUGGACAGUAACUGACGCUGAGGCGCGAAAGCGUGGGGAGCAAACGGG